GUGCUCGCUUCAGCAGCACAUAUUCUAAAAUUGGAACGAUACAGAGAAGAUUAGCAUGGCCCCUGUGCAAGGAUGACAUGCAAAUUCAUGAAACAUUCCAUAUUUUU
rnacentral:snRNA from 1 species